GGAUGAACGCUGACAGAAUGCUUAACCCAUGCAAGUCUUUGGCGAAGCUGUGCUUGCACAGCCUAGCCAAGGCGGACGGGUGAGUAACGCGUAAGGAACUUGCCCUGCAGUCAGGGAUAACAGACGGAAACGACUGAUAAGACCUGGUAAAGUCAGGCGGACUCAUGUCCAGCCUGAUGAAAAGAGAUGCUGCAGGAGAGCCUUGCGUCCUAUUAGCUUGUUGGUGGGGUAACGGCCCACCAAGGCGAUGAUAGGUAGCCGGCCUGAGAGGGUGGACGGCCACAAGGGGACUGAGAUACGGCCCUUACUCCUACGGGAGGCGGCAGUGGGGAAUAUUGGACAAUGGGGGCAACCCUGAUCCAGCAAUUCUGUGUGCACGAUGAAGGUUUUCGGAUUGUAAAGUGCUUUCAGCAGGGAAGAAAAAAAUGACGGUACCUGCAGAAGAAGCGACGGCUAAAUACGUG
rnacentral:rRNA from 1 species